UCAAUGGCGAAGAUGGAAAAAAGUACAGGAAAGCGGCCGGUACAGAGAACCUGCGGUUGGUGCAAGCAGGGGCGGAAGCUUCCCGGAAAUACAUUCCUGAGCCGUCGGGCUGAGAAAGCGGCAGAUUGCCGGAUUUAGGCUCGUCCGGGGUACGCCCGUUAGCGCGUUUGGGUAAUUUUUUACCCGUGAGGCCGCCGCCGUGAGGCUGCGGUAAACUGAGGUGGUACCGCGGAAUUUCCGCCCUCUGC
rnacentral:ncRNA from 1 species